AUUAGUGCCUACUCUAAGCAUUUCAAGUCCACGUGUCUUGACUGCUGCCCUGUUUCACAGUACUCAAGACCCACCCCAAUAGUUCCAUGGCUUUCUUGUGGUGAGGGCCCUGGAGAUGGAUGCCAUUCUUCAGGUGGGGUCUCAGAAGAAGCCACAGGCAUCUGGAGCUUCCAAGAGCAGUGAGGAAGGUGACUGCAACCUUUCAUAAAAAGAGAAGCUCUACCAUGUCUUGUCACUGCAUGACCACAUCAGUUCAGUGACACUGUGGUGAAACAACUCUGUUCUUCAUCUCAGACCAAGAUCUCCUGUUUUUGUACCACCAGACAUCUUUGGAAAACAGCCCUUCUUCUUCUUUAGCCAUACCUAGGUAACCCAAAUCUUCUGGACAAAGACAUAAGCAGCAGGAUUGGUCGCAAGGUAUGUUAGCAAAAAUAAAAGUAUUAUUGUUUUUUCAUCUAUUGGUAUUGAGGUGUAAACUUCAUGAAAUCUAUAAUGGGAGAGUUAAGAAGCCUUUGCUGGCCUCAGAGAGUCAGGUGAUGGCAAAGUCACCCUUUGCACCACUGAUCAUAUCAUGACAUGAUGGUGACUAAAAAAAAUUAUUGUACCUGAUGUCAAUCUAGAUAAGCUCACAGAGAAUUCCUCAAGGUAAGGAGGCAACUUAUUUUUUAAUUUACCCCCUCGUACUUGUAACGUAAGUCUGAAUAAGGCUUUAUGUAUGCCAGAGUUCAUCUGCCUACUUCAGAUGUUUUCCUGACAAGAGCAUCUGUUAAGGCCCACUCUUUCAGGGCUAUGAGUCUCACAUUAAUACAAUUUUGUGCUUUCAACAGAUUCAUGAGGUCUGUAUUUGGGGCAGGAGUGAGUGAAAGGUAGGGAGUGUAUGUAGUAAUUUAACAGGAUGCAGCUAUUCAAUUUCUGUUUCUCUUUCAAUUCCAUUUCAAUUCUGUUCAAUUUAUGGAGAAUUUGUAGAGAUUAUAUGGUAUGUCAAAGGUCUUCUUUUUCCUAAAGAAUUAAGUAAUAUGAUGAUAUAAUAUUAUCUUUCUUCUUAAAUCUUUGUGUGCUUUGAAUUAUUGAACUAAGGCAAUCACAAAUUAUGUAACUCAAUAGAAACAGCAGCAGCAGCACCAAGACUGUUACUUUUGUAUCUUUGUGUAAGUGCAUGCGUAUUUGUCUUUAUCUGUAAUGUAUUAGUUUUGACAUAAACAUAGAACCAACAUCUCUUUUCAUUUAUCUUGCUAUCAAUCAGGAUUAACUGAAAGGUGCAUCAGAGGAUGCAGGUAUGAAAUGAGAAUUAUGUAUGUAACUAUGAAAUUCUAUUAAAUUUAUGUUGUCAUUUAUCCAUUCUGAAACUUGAAAAUGAAACCUGGAGAUACUACUACCUCUUAACCAUGGAAAAAUUCUAAAUUUCAGUAAAUUACUAUCCUGCAAAAAAAAAAAAAUAAAUUUAAAUGUAGUAGAAAUUUUCCCCAGUCUGUGACCUAAAAGAUAGUUGUGGAAAAUAUUAAUAAAGCUUCUUCCAUACAGUGUUAAAUAUUUA